rnacentral:rRNA from 1 species
UACACACCGCCCGUCACACCAUGGAGUUGAUUGCACCAGAAGUAGGUAGCCUAACCGCAAGGGGGGCGCUUACCACGGUGUGGUCAAUGACUGGGGUG